rnacentral:rRNA from 1 species
CAGAUUGCAGGCUGNAACCCGCUUGCAUGAAGUCGGAAUUGCUAGUAAUCGCGGAUCAGCAUGCCGCGGUGAAUACGUUCCCGGGCCUUGUACACACCGCCCGUCACACCAUGGGAGCCGGUAAUACCCGAAGUCAGUAGUCCAACCACGUGAGGACGCUGCCGAAGGUAGGAUUGGCGACUGGGGUGAAGUCGUAACAAGGUACC